GCGAGCGUGGCGGAAUCGGUAGACGCCGGAGACUUAAAAUUUCCUGACCUUUGGUCGUGUGGGUUCGAGUCCCACCGCUCGCACCA
rnacentral:tRNA from 2 species